GGUCAAGAAAGGGAGAGUUUUUAUUUCACAUCAUGCCAGGGAAGGCCUCUGGCUAAGCUGAGCAUCGCCAGAUGGAGUUUCAAGUGGUACCAGGCUGCUGACUUCCUCCUCAGUUGCAUCAUGCACUUGGAGUAACCUGGUGAUUUCCUUCAUUCCUGUCAUAGACUGGGAAUCUUUAAGGAACAGACCUCAGAAAUCGUGGAGCAGAAGAUGUAAGCCAGGUCCACAGAAUGAAUGAGCAUAAUAAAAGUGUUGUUUUAUAUCAAUGAGUUUUCAGCUGCCAUCAGCUAAGCCACCUGCCUGGACCUCACCCAUCCACCAUGAUGUUUGCCUCACCUCAAGCCCACAGCAAUGCAGCCAGGCAGCCAUGGACUGAACUUCUGAAACCAGGAGCCACAAUGGACAUUUCCUCCUCUAAGCUGUUCUUUGUCAGGUAAAAGAAAUAUGGCACCAAACUAAUUAAAUAGAAAGGAAGACUGGAUUCAAGACUAUUGCCACGGGGAAGAGAGAGAUUUGAACUUAUCUUCAUUGAAACAAAAGGUGAGGAUGCAGUAAGAAGGCCCACACCAGAUGAGCAUAACUUGAUCUUGGAAUUCCCAGCCUUCAGAUGUGUGGGAGAAUAAAUUUCUAUUUUAUGAUUUA